rnacentral:rRNA from 1 species
CAGUCGAGCGGACAGAUGGGAGCUUGCUCCCUGAUGUUAGCGGCGGACGGGUGAGUAACACGUGGGUAACCUGCCUGUAAGACUGGGAUAACUCCGGGAAACCGGGGCUAAUACCGGAUGGUUGUUUGAACCGCAUGGUUCAAACAUAAAAGGUGGCUUCGGCUACCACUUACAGAUGGACCCGCGGCGCAUUAGCUAGUUGGUGAGGUAACGGCUCACCAAGGCGACGAUGCGUAGCCGACCUGAGAGGGUGAUCGGCCACACUGGGACUGAGACACGGCCCAGACUCCUAUGGGAGGCAGCAGUAGGGAAUCUUCCGCAAUGGACGAAAGUCUGACGGAGCAACGCCGCGUGAGUGAUGAAGGUUUUCGGAUCGUAAAGCUCUGUUGUUAGGGAAGAACAAGUACCGUUCGAAUAGGGCGAUACCUUGACGGUACCUAACCAGAAAGCCACGGCUAACUACGUGCCAGCAGCCGCGGUAAUACGUAGGUGGCAAGCGUUGUCCGGAAUUAUUGGGCGUAAAGGGCUCGCAGGCGGUUUCUUAAGUCUGAUGUGAAAGCCCCCGGCUCAACCGGGGAGGGUCAUUGGAAACUGGGGAACUUGAGUGCAGAAGAGGAGAGUGGAAUUCCACGUGUAGCGGUGAAAUGCGUAGAGAUGUGGAGGAACACCAGUGGCGAAGGCGACUCUCUGGUCUGUAACUGACGCUGAGGAGCGAAGGCGUGGGGAGCGAACAGGAUUAGAUACCCUGGUAGUCCACGCCGUAAACGAUGAGUGCUAAGUGUUAGGGGGUUUCCGCCCCUUAGUGCUGCAGCUAACGCAUUAAGCACUCCGCCUGGGGAGUACGGUCGCAAGACUGAAACUCAAAGGAAUUGACGGGGGCCCGCACAAGCGGUGGAGCAUGUGGUUUAAUUCGAAGCAACGCGAAGAACCUUACCAGGUCUUGACAUCCUCUGACAAUCCUAGAGAUAGGACGUCCCCUUCGGGGGCAGAGUGACAGGUGGUGCAUGGUUGUCGUCAGCUCGUGUCGUGAGAUGUUGGGUUAAGUCCCGCAACGAGCGCAACCCUUGAUCUUAGUUGCCAGCAUUCAGUUGGGCACUCUAAGGUGACUGCCGGU